rnacentral:sRNA from 1 species
AUGGCGGCACAGGUUUUUUAUCGUUUCCCCUGUCCUGGGCACGGCCGAAGCGGAACGGUGUCAGGUCGAGCCACGCCAU